UACGUAGGGUGCGAGCGUUAAUCGGAAUUACUGGGCGUAAAGCGUGCGCAGGCGGUUCGUUGUGUCGGUGGUGAAAUCCCCGGGCUUGACCUGGGAAUGGCCAUGGAAACUGGCGAACUGGAGUGCGGCAGAGGGGGGUGGAAUUCCGCGUGUAGCGGUGAAAUGCGCAGAUAUCAGGAGGAACACCGGUGGCGAAGGCGGGACUCUGUGCCGAUACUGACGCUGAGGAGCGAAAGCGUGGGGAGCGAACAGG
rnacentral:rRNA from 1 species